rnacentral:tRNA from 1 species
GAGGGUAUAGCUCGGGGGUAGAGUGCAUGCUUAGCACGCAUGAGGACCUAGGUUCAGCCCCCAGUACCUCUG